AGGGGCUUGGACGGGGUAUUCAGUGUGGUUUUAACAUUGAGUGUAGAGGAGGAUCAACUGCAGACUGGCUCCCCUUCCUCUUCUUUCAGCUAAACUCCAGAGGUCUACUUUUGUCCCGUUAGGAUUCACAGGGCACCAUCAUGGAGGAUUUGGACUUUGAGCGGCGCCGGGAGCUGAGGAGGCAAAAGCGGGAGGAGAUGCGUCUGGAGGCGGAACGCAUGCUCAGGAACGAUGACGACGAGGAGGAGGCUGCCCGCGAGAGGAGGCGCAGGGCACGCCAGGAGAGGCUGAGGAGCAGGGAGAGCGAGGAGCCAAGCAGCCAGCCAGACAGCAGCGUCCUGACCAACAGCCACAGCGUGACAGAAUCCGUCUCUGUGAGCAGCUCCUAUGGAUAUGGCGGGGAGGAUGAGGACCAGGCCUUGCAGGAGCGCAUGGCCAAGCGAGAGGAGAGACGGCAGAGGCGCAUGAAGGAGGCGCUGGAGAGGCAGAGGCAGCUGGACCCCACCGCCGCGGACGCCGGCGACGGCGUCGGCCUGGAGAAAAACAGCACAGAGGAGGAGAGACACACGCGCGGCCGGCGUUACCGUGACACCGUGGAGGAGGAAGAGAAGACUGAAAGCAUCAGCUCGAGGCGGGAGGAAAAAGAACCAGAGGAACCUAGAGAGGAGGAAGAGGAAGCUGCUCCUGAGAGAGAGGAAGAGGAGGAGCAGAGGGAUGAAGCUGUAGAAACCAAACCAAGACAGUCUUACAUGAGAGAACAGGCAUCAACAGAGGAGACUGUAAUGCAACACAAGGUGGACGAGAGGGAAGACUCUGAGGAGGAUCAGAGGAAGCAUAACGGAGGGCUGCAUGACGAGGCAGCUCCCAGACAGCACAAGAAACCUGAGAGGACCCUCAGCCGCAGCAGUGUCCGUUCCCCCGAGGUGUCCGCUGGCGACGAGCAGGAUGACGACGCCCGCCUUGAGGCAGAGCGCAAGCUGGAGGAGCUGAAGCGCCGGCGUGAUGACGCAGAGAGCGAGGAGUUCGAGAGGAUGAGGCAGAAGCAGCAGGAGGCCGAAGCUGAGCUGGAGGAGCUGAAAAGGAAGCGGGAGGAGAGGAGGAAGGUGCUGGAGGAGGAGGAGAGGCAGCGGAAGCAGGAGGAGGCGGAACGGAAAGCCAGAGAGGAGGAGGAGAAGAGGAAGAUGAAAGAGGAGAUUGAGAGGAGAAGGGCUGAGGCCGCUGAGAAGAGACAGAAGGUGGACGAUCCCGUGGACGGCGAGGAGAAACCAUUCAAGUGUGUCAGUCCUCGAGGCUCUUCUCUGAAGAUUGGAGAAAGGGCAGAAUUCCUGAACAAGUCUGCACAGAAAAGCACUGUGAAGGCCUCUCAUUCUCCUGUGGUGUCCAAGAUAGACAACAGGCUGGAGCAGUACACCUCAGCUGCUCAGCGAGAGAACAAGGAAUCCAGAUCCCCUCGCUCAACUGUUUUGGAUCUUCCCUUGGUCACUGAUGUGCGAAACAUUAAGAGCAUGUGGGAGAAAGGCAACGUGUUUGGCUCGCCCGGAAGUGGCGGAAGCACUUUUAAGGAAGCAGCUGUGAUAAAGACGGGCGUGGCGGGCCGCAUCAACGACUGGCUGAAUAAAACCCCAGAGAGCGGCAAGACGUCAGGAGGAAGGCCAACGGACCUGAAACCCGUUGAUGUCACCAACAAGAGGAGUCUAUGGGAAAACAAAGGCGCCACUCCAACAAAGAACUCUCACAGCUAGUUGACCUCGGCAUUCGAUCUGGAAUAAGCCUGCAGAGAUGGCAGGCAGAGGAGAGGCCAAAUCAGUUGCUAACGGUAUGGGACACUAAUGUCUUGACGGAGCCACUAAAAAUGGGGACCGCGACAAUCCAAGAUUCUACCUUUUGAACAGUUUUUCCUUUUUAUCUCCCUAUAAACCAAAUGAAAUCCAGAUCCUUACGAGGGGACCACAAAGACGCUGACCUCGCACUGUACUGAAACACCACCCUUGUUUUUUCUUUGCCAAUCUUAGUACUUUUGCACAAUGGGUUAGGCUUUGACAAUAAUGAAAAAAAUGCUGUGAAAUUUGGACAUUUUAGAACCUAAAAAAAAAAUCAGAAUCAAGCGUUAGUAUUUUUUAUACUCUAGCGGACAGGUUUAAAAGUUCCCACAUUCCAAAGAGACGAGUGAAACCACCUCUCCACCUCUUACAGAUUACAUUCCAUCUCUCCUUUAUUAUUAUUAUUUUUUUUUAUUUAUAUUUAAAGAGACCGCUUCACACUUUGCUAUUUUAUACUCAGCAGCCACCUGUUCAGGAUAGAAAUGUAAGCACUUCUAGAUUUUAGCUGAUUUCACUUGUUUAAUGUUUUAACAAUAGCAAAGCAAAAGUCUGAGUAAUAUAAGUUAGCACAUGUGACGUUCUGAUCAUCUUUGUAUCAUCUAUAACAUCGCUAUGCGCAUAGAAGGUAUGUUUCGCUUUUUUAUUUAGUAUCAAAAACUCACCAACAGAGGGUUAUAUUUGAAGGUGAAAGGGAGUGCUGAAUAUUUAGAAGGCCAUUAUGACUUUUAUUAUUAUCCUUUGUCAUUUUAAUUUAAGUUUUAAUGUGUUUUAUCUUAUCUAUCUGUUCUUUUUUUUAGCUUUUAUUGAUCAAUUUAAACAGUACUGAUGAAAAAAGUGGUUGAUCUUUACAGAUUUCUUCUGUUUUUUUUAUUUUUAUUGUCGCACCUAAAUGUCUCUUUUAAUAUCACCUAAGGUACAGGUGUUAUUUCUUAAAGGCUGUGAUUCAUUGCAUUUCUUUAGAAAGCUGGAAGCACUUUUACUGCCUUAAAUGUAAAUGUAAAAAAAGGAAAAUGUCUGACGGCAUGAAGUAGGCGAAAAUAUGUCAAAGUCUUUAUAAAAUCCAAUCAAAGGAAAUGGAAGAACUGAUAAGAAACAGUGUUAUUAUCCAUUCAAAAUACCUAGAGUCUAACAUGGUGGUGGUAGUAUGAUGGUCUGGUUUCUUUUUACUUGGUUCAGGAGGUAAAAAUUCUGCUUUCGAGUAGAAAACUACUCACCAACAAGUCCAUAUCUAAAUGUCCCCAUGAAACAAAUGUUUUUUUUUGAGUGGGCUCUUCAAAAUCAGCACUCUAACGUGACGUUACUCUUCCAGCGACUGAAUUCAUCAGAUUUGCAAAAACUUCUUAAUAGCCGUAUCAAAAAAAAAAAAAAACACUCCGUGUGUCAUUUAAGUGCAACAUUUAACCUUAAAACAGAAUGAAUCUCUAAAGAUGCAAACUUUUUCUUAGCAGCACUGUAAAAAAAAUAAAUAUUCAGACAAAAUCUUCUUACAUUCCUCUGAAUGCUCGUGGUGCCUUCUCUGCUUGAAGCUGUCCUGUACAGAAAAAGUGCAAGUCAUGUUUUGUAUUCUGCCUUCUACAGUAAUCUCUUAAAAGCUCAAGCAAUACCUUAAUUAAGGGCAUGUUAUGUAAUGUCGCUGUCACACCUUGACCAUUUAGCCAGGGUAUGCCGACAUCCCAGAAUCCUCUAAAAUGCUGGCAUAUGCUGAACUUUCUAUGCAUUUUUUCAAUUUUGGGCGUAUGCAUAGAGUAUUCAUAAUGAGUCCAGAACUUAUGUCCAACGACAGCCUAACUUGUCCUGCAGGUUUUAGAGGUUUCUCUGUUUUAGCACAGCUGAUUCUGAUGAUUGCAGUUCAGCAAAAGCCUGUUAAUCAACUAUCAAUGUAAAGCAGCUGUGCUGGAGCAGGGAAACCUCUAAAACCUGCAGGACAGCGAACCUGGAGGACCGACUUUGCAGAUCCCUGGCCUAACUUAUGCAUGAUGCACGGCAGCGUAAUGCUCAUGAUAUGACACAAGCAUGAAGGCGUUAAGGAGACGCUCAGCCUAUAUAAAAAGCACAAUAAGAAGAUUUCUCUAAACUCCGCAGUAACUGUAUUACCUUGCUUCUGUUUACCGCCAAAAAACAAAUAAAAAGAAAGAAGGUUUGCAGCCGCAGCAGAUUCAGCGUCAUGUCUGCUAGGAAGUUUGUUGGUCGAGGCCGUCGGUGUGAACGCAGGGAGGAUCCAUUUACACUCACCUUCUUGCUCAGCCUAUGAUGGGGAUAAUAUGAGCUGGAUAAGUUAGCAUUACUUAUGAGUAACUUACAAUUAACCUUUCUCAACGAUCACAUAACUUAUGUCCUACGUAUGAGCAUAGAAAUGUUGAGCAUGCUUGCAUAUUUGCCGUAUGUCAACAUGCCAGCGUGCCCAUAACAUACAAAACCGAUGUAUGCCUGCGUUUUUGCCAAAUUUUUUAUACGUCAACAUCACCUGACUAAAUGAAAGUAUGACAGCGG